rnacentral:rRNA from 1 species
ACGGAGGGGGCUAGCGUUGCUCGGAAUUACUGGGCGUAAAGCGCACGUAGGCGGCGAUGCAAGUUAGGUGUGAAAGGCCUGGGCUUAACCCAGGGACUGCACUUGAUACUGCAUUGCUAGAGUCCAAGAGAGGGUAGUGGAAUUCCCAGUGUAGAGGUGAAAUUCGUAGAUAUUGGGAAGAACACCAGUGGCGAAGGCGGCUACCUGGCUUGGUACUGACGCUCAGGUGCGAAAGCGUGGGGAGCAAACAGGAUUAGAUACCCUGGUAGUCCACGCUGUAAACGAUGGGUGCUAGAUGUCGGGCAGCAUGCUGUUCGGUGUCGUAGCUAACGCGUUAAGCACCCCGCCUGGGGAGUACGGCCGCAAGGUUA